AGUUGUAAUCUAUAGAGGCGUUUUCCGCGCCGGUCCGCGUCCAAGUCCCUUGGAACAGGGUAUCAAAGAGGGUGACAAUCCCGUGCUUGACGCGAUCGCCGGUGCUAUGUGAUGCGUCUUCUAC
rnacentral:rRNA from 1 species